UACUUUUUCUUCUUGUAGAGAAGCUGGUUAGAUAUGUUGAAGAUAACUCUAGUGGAGCUUCUGCAUGGAGUCAUGGUCACCACCACCAUCACAAGAACAGUAAGAAAUUGAAAGAUGGUGAUGAUGAUGACGUUAACGAAGUUAUGCAGUCAAAAUCUCCCAAGGAAACUGAAGGAAAUGUGUCAGAUGAAGUUUCAGAUAACUAUUUGAAUGGGGUUAAUUUGACUGAAAAUGAAUCUCUUCUUCGGAAGAGAAAGUCUACUCCUGAUCGCAAGGAUGAUAUAUCAGAUAUUGAUGCUACAGGUGGCUCUACCAGUGCUAAAAAA
rnacentral:misc_RNA from 1 species